UACGUAGGGGGCGAGCGUUGUCCGGAUUUAUUGGGCGUAAAGAGCUCGUAGGCGGUUUGGUAAGUCGGGUGUGAAAUCUCCACGCUCAACGUGGAGGGGCCACUCGAUACUGCCAUGACUCGAGUCCGGUAGAGGAGUGUGGAAUUCCCGGUGUAGCGGUGAAAUGCGCAGAUAUCGGGAGGAACACCCGUAGCGAAGGCGGCACUCUGGGCCGGAACUGACGCUGAGGAGCGAAAGCAUGGGGAGCGAACAGG
rnacentral:rRNA from 1 species